GUGAACGUAGCUCAGGUGGUAGAGCACUGGGUUGUGGCCCCAGCGGUCGCGGGUUCAAGUCCCGUCGUUCACCCCU
rnacentral:tRNA from 1 species